GACGAACGCUGGCGGCGUGCUUAACACAUGCAAGUCGAACGGAAAGGCCCUGCUUUUGCGGGGUGCUCGAGUGGCGAACGGGUGAGUAACACGUGAGUAACCUGCCCUUGACUUUGGGAUAACUCCAGGAAACUGGGGCUAAUACCGGAUAGGAGCUCCUGCUGCAUGGUGGUGGUUGGAAAGUUUCGGCGGUUGGGGAUGGACUCGCGGCUUAUCAGCUUGUUGGUGGGGUAGUGGCUUACCAAGGCUUUGACGGGUAGCCGGCCUGAGAGGGUGACCGGCCACAUGGGGACUGAGGUACGGCCCAGACUCCUACGGGAGGCAGCAGUGGGGAAUAUUGCAGAAUGGGCGGAAGCCUGAUGCAGCAACGCCGCGUGCGGGAUGACGGCCUUCGGGUUGUAAACCGAUUUCGCCGGUGACGAAGAGGGAGUGACGGUAAUGAGUAAAGAAGCACCGGCUAACUACGUG
rnacentral:rRNA from 1 species